GUCUGGAUGGCGCAGCGGUCAACGCAUCUGCCUGGUAAGCAAGAGACCCGGUUUCGAAUCCCGGUCUGGCACA